ensembl:lncRNA
AUGCUGAAACGAAAAUAUAAAAAAUACCUGGAGCCUGGCAGUGUGUCCAUCAUACCUGCCAAAACCAGACAAAGGCUGGAGAAGAAGGUUGGUUUUGAGGUAGAAGCUAUUACAGGCACAAGUAAGGCCCUUUUGCUUGCAGACCACACCUAUUCAGAUGAGUCCUCUUUGGAGGUAGAAGGCACCUCAAAGACAAACAUCACCUGCUCAUACUCAUGCCAGGCCAAAACUGACAUAAGUGAUGCACUUUUCCAACUUAAUGAGUUGGCUUCAGUCUCAGAGGUGGAAAGCAUUAUUGAGACAAACACAGCCCUUUUGGUUACAGACCAGACCUGUUCAGAUACAGAUGAGUCCUUUUUGGAUAUAAAUGAGUUGUCUUCAGAUUCAGAGGUAGUUACACUAUAUCCAACUGAUCCCUGUGUGAUUAUAAACUGCCAUCAGAGUAGUAAAAGUGAUUAAUCAUAUUGUGAUUUCCAUCCGCAAAGAGGGCAUCAAUUACCAAUGACCAAUACCGUGACCUUAAAUACCCUAGUGUGCAGAGUGUAAGUCAGACAACUUUAGUUCUUAGUAUAAUGUUUACGGUUAUUUUGCACAUGGAAAGUGAAAUAUAAAUAUUAUUAACCCUCUGGAGUCUAAGGGUAUUUUUGGGGCCUGGAUUUUUUUUUUCUAAAUGAUGUGAAAAUCAUCUUGUUUACUCACUUACAGAAAACAAUAUAUUGAUUUAAAUUUUCUAAGACACUUUUUGUUGGUAAAAGUCAUAUGCGAGUAGGCGUCAACUAUCAUGAAUUCACACCUGAGAAGACAAAGGCCUGCAUAAUGAGCUGCAUAAUGAGCCAUUCAGUCAGCUGUGUCACUGAGAGGGAUGAGUUACAAGAAAGAAUGUGAGGACAAAAUAAAUGUAUAUAAUUUUAUGUUUGUAGUUUAUUU